UUUAUUUUAGGUAUUAGCACAUUAAUAGCAAACAACGUUUAUGAUGCUGCAUACCCACUUCAUGAUGGUGAAUAUGAAUACCAAAAUGAUGACAUGAAUGAAAGAAAGUUGCUGUAUCGAGAAUGGGCAAGAUAUGGAGUAUUUUACAAGUUUCAGCCAAUUGACCUCAUAAGGUAAUAUGGACUUGUCGGGACAACAGGAACCCUGUUUUUAUCUGAUACAGAUUAAUAGAGUUCCUGUAGUUACUUCAGCAUAUAAUAUCUUGGAUUGACUGAUACAUAAGUAAAAUUUCUGCCUGCUUUUCUGUAGUUCUGAUGAUACCUUUCUUUCUGUAUAUCAUGUUAUCCUAAAGUAAUAUAAUAUUUCCGAUUACUUUCAUGAAUUUUUAUUGGAUUGUGAUCAAAGUUGUCAAU